UUGGGGGAAGUCUAACCAGAUGGCAGAGGCCCAAGUGAAAGUUUUUCUUUCAGGAGAUGCUGGGUCCUGGUUAUGGGGCAUGGGCAUGGGGCAGAUGUGCCCACCCGGCACCCCUGUGGGGAAUCCGGUUCACUUGCAUCUCUGCUGAGAGGGGAAGUGGAAGCUCCCACAGGUCAGGAGAGGUGGGACCCACUUCACACCUGGCUGUGUCUCUUGUGCAGCCUGGAGACUUUCCCUCAGACCACACCACACCUGGCUGAAGAGGAGCUGACCGUGGUGCCAGGCUCCGCCACCCCCAGUGAUAGUGCACACCCUCAGCAAGCGUGCCCCGUAGAAGGGCUCUGAGCCAAGGGCCCUGGAGACCCUGCUUCUAAAGGGGCGCCCCUGCCCCCGGCUGGACUGCCAGGAAGGAGGGCGCCUGUCUGUCAUCCAAGGAGCAGGGUCUUGCUCCCAAACGGCUAGGAGCCCCACGCAGCUAGCAGCGGAAAAGGCGAGGAGAAGGGGGCACUGCAGAGAGCACUGGUCAGUGUCAUUACAAACUCAUCCACACACACUUUAAAGCCCCGUGAUAUUCCGCCUUAAGGAUCCACCGUCGUGCACUCACCCGCCUCCUGCUGCUGAGGGCCCCGGGCUGCUUCAAGACCCAAAUACGUAAUCACCUCUUAGAUGAGGUUCCUAGAGGCGAGCCUGCUGGGGUGAGGCACGAGUGCCGCCGUCGCUGUGAGCCUCGCAUGCCUGUGAGUUGCACACUCCACCUUGGCGGCUGAGCGCCACCUCAGCGUCCCCAGGCUCUGGCCCCCUGGGAGUGCCUUCCGACCUCCCCUGGACGUGGCAGCCCCUGUUCUCCCUCCAUCUCACACCCUCGCUCUUGGCACUGGCGGAGCUGCAGGUCGUGAGGGCUGCCGUCCGAGAGUCCCUGCCUGGGAAGUCUGGCCCUCUGAGCCUCGUCUGCCACCGUGGAGAGCCUGGCCGUGUCUCCGUGCUGCAGCGGCCCCCGAGGGAGUGGAUCUGUGAGCCCCAGAGCCUCGGCAACUCGGGGUGAAGAUGUCACACGUGGGAGGCUGAUGGCCAUGCCUGAUGGUGUCCAAAGGCUCUGAGCACGUGAGCCCCUCUGGGGAGGCCUCUUAGACGCAGAUAACAGCUGCCAUUUGGAAAUCUUCAGCAAUUACACUAAGUGCCUGCUGCGCUGGUUAAAGAAGCUGUUGCGAUGCCAUGCUGAACUGCGUUUGCACGUGAUGCUGUUUGAUCUAGUUCCCACAACAAUCCUGCCAGGUGCCUGUUAUCUUCCCUGCUUCAUGAUGAAGGACCCAGAGAGCCCAGAGAGGCUGAGGAACUCGCCGUAGGCUACAUAGCUACUUACAGGUGGAGUAGAGAUUUAAAGAGUUCCUUGAUGCUGACCAGGGGCUAGCCACCUUCCUUCAGAGUGAGACCCUGGGCUGUGCCAGGAUUCAGACAGGGCUCUGCCUCUCACUAACUGUAAUGUGCCCUUGAGCCCAUCAGGUGACCGUUCUGUGCCUCAGUUUCCUCAUCAAGGACAUGGGAUUCUUGGGACUGCUUGAGUUAAUGCAGGUAAAGCGCCUACAACAGUUCCUGGUGCACAGGAAGCGAUCAUUUCACUCAGCCCCUGCUGCUCUUCAGGCCUAGGAUCUCAGGUUGUGUUUUUCUGCAGUAAAAAGCCUGGCGAGUGAGCUCACUGAGCCCCUACGGUUUGAGCUGAGCAAACAGGUGAGAAACGCUCUGUCAACACCAUGUGCUGGGUGAGGGCCGGGCCACCUGUGCACAGGUUUUGGUGGGGUCCUCUGGGGCUGGUGGAGGAGAGGAGGGGGCUUCUGGGGGAAUCCUGAGGGACUGGGGUCAGGCCCAGAGCUGAGUGCAUGGAUAGGGCACUUGCUAGACAGAGCCUGGAGGGGCAGGCAUGGGGAAGUGCUCUCUUUCACCAGAUCCUUGACUGUAGCUUGCACACAUGUUACUUGCUCUGCUAAACAAUUUAUUAUACACUCUGCUCAAAUGGUA